CGCGCAGGCGGUUAUACAAGCCUGGUGUGAAAGACCACAGCUCAACUGUGGGAACGCACUGGGAACUGUAUGACUGGAGUUCAAGGGGGGAAGCUGGAAUUCCUGGUGUAGGGGUGAAAUCUGUAGAUAUCAGGAAGAACAUCAGUGGCGAAGGCGAGCUUCUGGCUAUGAACUGACGCUGAGGCGCGAAAGCGUGGGGAGCAAACAGGAUUAGAUACCCUGGUAGUCC
rnacentral:rRNA from 1 species